GAUGAACGCUGGCGGCGUGCCUAAUACAUGCAAGUCGAGCGAACGGACGAGAAGCUUGCUUUUCUGAUGUUAGCGGCGGACGGGUGAGUAACACGUGGAUAACCUACCUAUAAGACUGGGAUAACUUCGGGAAACCGGAGCUAAUACCGGAUAAUAUUUUGAACCGCAUGGUUCAAAAGAGAAAGACGGUCUUGCUGUCACUUAUAGAUGGAUCCGCGCUGCAUUAGCUAGUUGGUAAGGUAACGGCUUACCAAGGCAACGAUGCAUAGCCGACCUGAGAGGGUGAUCGGCCACACUGGAACUGAGACACGGUCCAGACUCCUACGGGAGGCAGCAGUAGGGAAUCUUCCGCAAUGGGCAAAAGCCUGACGGAGCAACGCCGCGUGAGUGAUGAAGGUCUUCGGAUCGUAAAACUCUGUUAUUAGGGAAGAACAUAUGUGUAAGUAACUGUGCACAUCUUGACGGUACCUAAUCAGAAAGCCACGGCUAACUACGUG
rnacentral:rRNA from 1 species